rnacentral:rRNA from 1 species
UACGUAGGGUGCGAGCGUUGUCCGGAAUUAUUGGGCGUAAAGAGCUUGUAGGCGGUUUGUCGCGUCUGCUGUGAAAAUCCGGGGCUCAACCCCGGACUUGCGGUGGGUACGGGCAGACUAGAGUGUGGUAGGGGAGACUGGAAUUCCUGGUGUAGCGGUGAAAUGCGCAGAUAUCAGGAGGAACACCGGUGGCGAAGGCGGGUCUCUGGGCCGUAACUGACGCUGAGGAGCGAAAGCAUGGGGAGCGAACAGG